AACGAACGCUGGCGGCAUGCCUAACACAUGCAAGUCGAACGAGACCUUCGGGUCUAGUGGCGCACGGGUGCGUAACGCGUGGGAACCUGCCCUUAGGUUCGGAAUAACUCCCCGAAAGGGGUGCUAAUACCGGAUAAUGUCUUCGGACCAAAGAUUUAUCGCCUUUGGAUGGGCCCGCGUUGGAUUAGCUAGUUGGUAGGGUAAAAGCCUACCAAGGCGACGAUCCAUAGCUGGUCUGAGAGGAUGAUCAGCCCCACUGGGACUGAGACACGGCCCAGACUCCUACGGGAGGCAGCAGUGGGGAAUAUUGGACAAUGGGCGAAAGCCUGAUCCGGCAAUGCCGCGUGAGUGAUGAAGGCCUUAGGGUUGUAAAGCUCUUUUACCCGGGAUGAUAAUGACAGUACCGGGAGAAUAAGCUCCGGCUAGCUCCGUG
rnacentral:rRNA from 1 species